rnacentral:rRNA from 1 species
UACGUAGGGAGGCAAGCGUUGUCCGGAAUCAUUGGGCGUAAAGGCGCGCGUAGGCGGCCCCAUAAGUCCGCUGUGAAAGUCAAGGCUCAACCUUGAAAGCCGGUCGGAUGAACUGUGGGGCUAGAGUACGGAAGAGGCGAGUGGAAUUCCUGGUGUAGCGGUGGAAUGCGCAGAUAUCAGGAGGAACACCAAUAGCGAAGGCAGCUCGCUGGGACGUUACUGACGCUGAGGCGCGAAAGCGUGGGGAGCGAACAGG